AGGUCUGUGAUGCCCUUAGAUGUUCUGGGCCGCACGCGCGCUACACUGACGCAUUCAUCGAGUUCUUCCUGCAUCGAGAGGUGUGGGCAAUCUGUUGAACCUGCGUCGUGAUGGGGAUAGAUUAUUGCAAUUAUUAAUCUUCAACGAGGAAUGCCUAGUAAGCGUGAGUCAUCAGCUCGCGUUGAUUACGUCCCUGCCCUUUGUACACACCGCCCGUCGCUCCUACCGAUUGGAUGGUCCGGUGAAGCCUCGGG
rnacentral:rRNA from 16 species